CGGCCGCGUCGACGGCAGAGGGAAUUCCUGGUGUAGCGGUGAAAUGCGUAGAGAUCAGGAAGAACAUCGGUGGCGAAAGGCAGCACACUAAGACCGUAACCUAGACGUUCAUGCUCGAAAGUAGUGGGUAUCAAACAGGAUUAGUACCCUGGUAGUCCACACGGUAAACGAUGGAUACUCGCUGUUGGCGAUAUACAGUCAGCGGCCAAGCGAAAGCAUUAAGUAUCCCACCUGGGGAGUACGCCGGCAACGGUGAAACUCAAAGGAAUUGACAGG
rnacentral:rRNA from 1 species